rnacentral:rRNA from 1 species
GAGUUUGAUCAUGGCUCAGGAUGAACGCUGGCGGCGUGCCUAAUACAUGCAAGUCGAGCGAACGGACGAGAAGCUUGCUUCUCUGAUGUUAGCGGCGGACGGGUGAGUAACACGUGGAUAACCUACCUAUAAGACUGGGAUAACUUCGGGAAACCAGAGCUAAUACCGGAUAAUAUUUUGAACCGCAUGGUUCAAAAGUGAAAGACGGUCUUGCUGUCACUUAUAGAUGGAUCCGCGCUGCAUUAGCUAGUUGGUAAGGUAACGGCUUACCAAGGCAACGAUGCAUAGCCGACCUGAGAGGGUGAUCGGCCACACUGGAACUGAGACACGGUCCAGACUCCUACGGGAGGCAGCAGUAGGGAAUCUUCCGCAAUGGGCGAAAGCCUGACGGAGCAACGCCGCGUGAGUGAUGAAGGUCUUCGGAUCGUAAAACUCUGUUAUUAGGGAAGAACAUAUGUGUAAGUAACUGUGCACAUCUUGACGGUACCUAAUCAGAAAGCCACGGCUAAC